rnacentral:tRNA from 1 species
GGGCGUAGCUCAAUGGUAGAGCCCCAGCCUUCCAAGCUGGUUAUGUGGGUUCGAUCCCCAUCGCC